GAUAAACGCUGGCGGCGUGCCUUACGCAUGCAAGUCGAACGGUGUCCUUCGGGGCACAGUGGCGGACGGGUGAGUAACACGUACGUGACCUGACGCGAAGUGGGGGAUACCCAUCCGAAAGGGUGGCUAAUACCGCAUGUGGUCGGUGGCGGUGGUCACCGAGUAAAGCUCGCAAGGGCGCUUUGUGAGGGGCGUGCGGCCGAUUAGCUGGUUGGUGGGGUAACGGCCUACCAAGGCGACGAUCGGUAGCUGGGCUGAGAGGCCGGACAGCCACACU
rnacentral:rRNA from 1 species